rnacentral:lncRNA from 1 species
AAGAAGAAAGGGGAAGCAGGUGGAAAAGCAAUUAAAAAAAAAUCAGCAUCUCUCUCUAGCCUAUUAUCUCCUGUUAGACACAGCCCAGAAAAUGAAUAGAGACAAGUCCUGGCUGGGUCUGGGUUCAGAAACAUAAUAGAAGGAUUCAUCUAAUCUGUCGGCCACUGUGGAGGAAGUGAACCUUCUAGAUCCUGCUGACUCAUACAAUGAGUUUUGUGUGGACCAUCAGACAAAAGGGCUGGCUGGUGAAGGUGGCUGUUGUCUGGAAAUUCCUCCCAGCUCUCCUCUAAUUAUGUCAUAAGGACUGGAGGCCCCUUAGCCUGCUUGUGAUAACACGCAAGGAAAUAUGGGCCAACUCUUCACAUGAACACAAGAUAUUUCCAUGCUAGCCUUUUGCAAGUAACAACAGAGAGAGCUCUGUGCAGUUUUCACUGGAAUGCCUGUGGAUUGCUUGUGUCAUAACUGUAAUCUAAAGAGUUGUCCAUUUGUUGAUUCCUUUGUAUUUGUAUUGGUAGAAUUGCCACUAUCAAACCAAGAUCUUUAGCUGCCUUUGUAUCAACUUCUUUGGAGCUUAUGUGAUUUUCCAGAAAAUUUCCAAGGCAUAGUUUUGUCCCUAAGUCCCAUGAAUAUGUAAUAUUUUGUGUCUCUCUAUUAAAAUAGCACUUUUUGUGCAUUCCAUUAACAAAAAAAAAAAAAAAA